AGUUCCCCAACACACUCUGAUUUCAAACAUUGCUUCCAAAACAGUCGAAGAUCAAGGAUAACACCCAAAACACAAAUCACUGGCAUCCGUCUUAUGGAACAUUCACAGGCAGCUGCAAUGAUGUCCAUGCUGCCUGAGGCCAUUACCUCCAGACGCAGGAGCUGUUUGGUCUCCUUUGAGAAGUCCAAGGAUCAAGAAGAGGAUCUAAAGCCCGCAUUGCUAUUCAGAGGACAGCAGCCCCGUAAAACCUUAGCCAGCCAGCCAGCCUCAUACGAGUGACAAACGUUUAUUUUGGAUUUCCAAUCCAAAUUUUGAACUUCACAGGUUUGACAUUCUGUGUUGUAGCAGUUGGCCUGUCUCAACCAAUAUACCAGCCUGAGAAAACUGAUGUUAUUCUAAAGAUCUUCACGGGUGGGAGCUGGAAUGGGAAAACCAAGCAGCUGGGAAUUGCUGUGAAUAUACAGACCUGCUAUUU